GUUUUCCCUCCAUUUCUAAAAUCAUGGAGCCGAAUUCUACUCCGUCCGUCUUGGGAGAGUGCAACUCUUCUUCUAUACUUUCUCUCUCAAUUGAUCGAGAAUCUGAAUUGAUGAGCUCAGACUUUUAUUCAAUCGGCGCAUUGAGAGAUGUGAAAUUCAACAGAGAAGUCGAGAAAGCUGCUGCUCUACACUCCUAGUACGCAGAAGAACAAGGAAAGGGCGGAAAAGAGAUUCCUCCGUCCCCUAGCCCCAUGUCAAUGCCGAGUUUGGAUUCUAGCCAUCUCAGUCCAGACAAUUCAACAAAAGCACGGCCGAAAGGCUCAGAUGGUCAGGGUGCACAGAUUCCGCAGACUAAAACGCCGAGUAACCAUGGCGGGAAUAAAUCUAACAGUCUCGUUGGUUCACCAGAAGGAAAUUGUGUAGACACACCUAACAGAUGCAUAGAAAAGAAGAAGAUGAUUGCCUGCCUUAAACAUUCUGAAGAUGGAUCCCUGGAGUUAUUCCUUCUGGUACAGAAUGAUGGAGAGGACACUUUGAAAACAAACAUCAUAGUCCCAGCAUCUAUAGACAUUCCUGUCGAGCAACUAGGGAUAACCCAAACACCAAACCAGAAAGAUCAAAAUCUCAGUUAGUACGGAAGAAAGCCUCAAGAUAGUAUUUAAUGCUGGAAAUGGGCAAUGCAUGCUUCACAUGGGAUCAUCUGUAUCUGAUGGCUUUUAUCAGAAAAUCCCUGCUUAUGCCAACCUCGUGACACCCAUCUAUGGUGUUUACUUCUCGUUUCUAAUUUCUUUGAUAGUUGUGGGGACAUGGGCCUGCUGCAAAUUGGGGAAAAGGCGGCACAGUGAUGGAGUCCCAUACUAGGAACUUGAAAUGGGGCUACCAGAGUCUGUUCUAGCUGUUGAUGUGGAAACAGUAGAUGGUUGGGAUCAGGGUUGGGAUGAAGAGAAAGUAGACAUGGUAUGAUCUGCCAAUACCCGUAACUUUGUGCUAUCUAUAUCUGUGUUAAAAUCUUGCAGGUUGCCUUCUUCACAAAGAGGGGGUAUGACAGUUUUAGGGAAAGUUGCCGUCCCAAAGCCUAUUAACUUGCACAGUCAAAGGUUGGAAAACCAUGGUGUAGAUCCAAAUGUGGAAAUUGUCCCCAAGUCGUUGCUUUCAACUUUCCAAGUUGUGCUUGACAAACUUUAAUUCUUGAGUCGCCUCAGUUUAACCCAAAGUAUAACUUAUUAGUCUGACCUUUUCCUAUUUUCUAAACCCUGAAUACCAAUUUUAACUGAGUUACAAAGAAGGAUAAUUUCCAGACUCACUGUCUUUGUGCCCAUCAAACUCAAAUCAGGUUGACUAGUCCAUCUUUUAUAUCCACUCAAAAGACAAUAGACAUUCUGAAUUUGCUGUCUUAAUGCCUAAUGGAAUAAAGUAUGAAAACUUAAAUAUAAAAAUCCAUUCUUUUACAAAAUGUUGCAUUCUCGAAAUAUCACUAUAAACAUUAAAAAAGAAAGGCUGUAGUUAGAUCAAUUGGGGUUAUUCUUCAAACCAUAUCAUAAUGGUCAUAGAUCAAUAAAAAGACUAGAUGGAUAUCUUAUUGUUGCUUGAAUUAUAAAAGAAAAAGCCUACUCUUUCUGAAACAUUUGUGAUGAAUUUGGACAGGAUGUGAAUUGGAGUAGCUCCAACAAUCACAAAAUUGCCUAUUCUACUGAAGUGGCUCCAAAAGAAAAUUUAUUUUUAAAUUAUCCCCUAGAUUCCCAAAUUUUCUCAUACCCAUUUGGACCCCCUUCCCCUGUAAACUAUUACGGGUAUUAAAGCCUUUUUUUAUUUACUUUUCUUUUCAUCUAUGCUGAGUUAAUAGUACUCUUAAUGAACAUGGUUUUCCCUAUUGAUGCAAGGAGAUAUUAAAUUUGUUGAGGUUGUUAAAAAGAUGGGAGCAGAAAUGUCAAGUUACAGGCCCACCCCAAUACUCCUCAUUCUAGGAACACUUGUGUGUCAUUGAUGUAAACAUGAAUAAAAUGCCCGAUGUUAACUUCCAAGAAUUAUUGAGAAGAGCUGUGGAUGCAUAUUUCAAAGUGAUGGUUCCAAUAAAGGAUCUAAGGUGAUCUUUGUCAUCAUAAUGGAUCCAAGAUGUUGCAGGAAAACCUCCCCUAGCUGUUCUUAUGGUCU